rnacentral:rRNA from 1 species
UCCUACGGGGGGCAGCAGUGAGGAAUGUUGGUCAAUGGGCGGGAGCCUGAACCAGCCAAGUCGCGUGAGGGAAGACGGUCCUAUGGAUUGUAAACCUCUUUAGGCGGGGAGCAAUGCCGGGCACGUGUGCCCGGAGGGAGAGUACCCGCAGAAUAAGCAUCGGCUAACUCCGUGCCAGCAGCCGCGGUAAUACGGAGGAUGCGAGCGUUAUCCGGAUUUAUUGGGUUUAAAGGGUGCGCAGGCGGACCAUCAAGUCAGCGGUAAAAUCGUGGGGCCCAACCCCAUCCCGCCGUUGAAACUGGCGG